UUUUGUGAAGGUAGGACGUGUUGUUGUCCGUGAUUAUUUUUGAGAAAAUUGUUCUGGCCCAGUUGCCGUAAUUUUGUAAAAUUAAAUAGUUAAAGUUUAUUUAAUUUCGAUAAUUGAUAUUCUGUUAUAUGAAGUAAAAAUAUAGUUCAUGUGAUAUUUAUUAUCCAAAAGCUCCAGAAGUUAAUUGUUAUCAACGCCGUCGUCUCAUAUACAUCCAUUUUCAAGAUACACUACACAAUCUAAAGAUACCAAACUGGAAGAAUGAGAGGAAGAUAACUGAAGAAGUUCAGUAGUAAUUGAAUUUCUCGGGCCAGUGCCACUUGAACCGCAGGGGAAGAGAUGGCUGGUUGAUUUUAGUACUUGGUUGAAUUUAAAUGUUAUAUAAAGCUAUGCUGAUGGUGACGAUCGUACAUACAUGUACAUAUAUAAACAAGAAAGACAGACUAAGAAUGCUCUUAAAACU